CAACUCCCCGACCCACCCGCUGCCCAGCUCCUAUCCCACGAGCUUCUCCUGAUCCCGUGGUCUUCCCCACCUCCUCCCGAUCCCGCCGCCACCCCCGCCUCCUCCGGCGCGCCGCCGUCCCCGCCUCCGCCCACACCUCCCUCCGGCGCGCCGCCGUCCCCGCCUCCUCCAGGCUCGCCUCCGCCCACGCCUCCCUCCGGCGCGCCGCCGUCCCCGCCUCCUCCCGGCUCAUCUCCGUCCCUGCCUCCUUUCACCGCCGCACUAAGGUUCCCCGGCCCCCUCCACCCGCCGUCGCCACCUCUCCUCUCCCUCCCAGCACGUCACCGCCGGCCCGCACCUCCUCCCCCUUCCAGCGGACCACCGGCAGCCGCACCCUUCCACUUCCCAACAUCCUCCGGCGAUGCGCCGGCCCUUCCCGUCCCGAACCCCGCCUCCUACGCUGCGCCGCCACGCAACCGCAGCCCGAGCCCCGCCUCCGCCACCGCGCCGCCAUGCAUCCGUUCCUCCUCCGUUGGAUAUGUGUUGCCGCCUUUUCCCUGAAUCCUUGAUGCCACCAAUCGACGUGUUGACAACCACGCGCCAGGAGAACCCAGCGCCGCCGGCCAUGGCGGAGGAGGAGGGGACACAGCAGCUUCCGUUCGUGCGGGAGACGGUCCUCAAGAAGAGGAAGGACAACGAGGAGUGGGCCACCAAGAACCGGGAGCGCAAGGCGGCCAAGAUGCAGCACCGCCGCCACGACGCCAAGUGCGCCAUCAAGCACCCCGAGGUCUUCGUCAAGGAGUUCCGCAACAAGGAGCUCGACUUCCUGCGGAUGCGGACGCGCCUCAAGGUCCGGAAUCUGCGCCCCGCCGAGGCCAUCGACGCCAAGCUUCUCUUCGCCAUCCACAUCCCAGGGGCAGUGCCUACCUAAACCUAAAGCAUCCAUCUCUCUGACUUGCUGGUGGUACCUCGCGAUUAACAUCAAACUCUUCAUGUCUGAUUGCAGCACUGCUGACUUGCACCCGCAAAAUCGGGAAGAUCUUGGCAAGGCUGCAGCUGAAAAAGGUCCUCACCGGUGUCUUCCUCAAGGCCACCGAGGCAAACCUCAAGAGGCUUGCUACUGUUGGACCGUUCGUCACCUAUGGGUUCCCCAAUUUGAAGAAUGUGAAGGAGCUUAUUUACAAGAAGGGUCGCGGAUAUUUCGACAAGGAGCCUUUCCCCCUUACCAGCAAUGAUCUAAUCGAGAAGAGGCAGGAGGAAGAAAAGACAGCAAUCAACACACACGUUCUGAACAAAAAUGUUGUUUUGGCUUCCUUACUACGGCAAUGUGAGAGACUUAUAAAAAUGAGGAAGUUCAACCUUAUCUUUGUGAAGGUUCAGUGAGUGUACCAGUAGCAGGAAUUCGCAGACUGCAAAAAAGAAAAUCUUUCAAAAAAAACAACACACCUUGGGUGGGGGUCUGUUUGCUGCUGGAGCUCAUAUUUGUGUUUUUCGUGCAGUGUUUUCAGGUGCAUCGGAAGGUGUUAUGACAAUCUCCGCUGUUUCUACACCGGACGCCGGGCAAAUGUGUUGUGCUGGGCAGCAAGGAUUUGGGAUCUGUUGCUUCUCGAUGUGCGGUCUCAUACCAUUGAACUUGAUUGCUCAGGCCUCUAUGAUACUACGAUCUCUGUUUGCAAUUUGCUUCUUGUAAUACUACUGCGGAUUCAGAUUGGGUUGUAUUAUUUCCAAUUGUAUUCUUCUGAGCUUGUGUUUUAAUUGAAAAAAAUGUGCGUGUGAGCAAGAGAAAAAGAAUAUUUUCAAAAGAAGUUCGUGUAUCA